rnacentral:lncRNA from 1 species
UUCAUCCUCAGAUACCUUAGCCUCCACCUUGUCUGGGAACAGCAUGUGCCAUCUUGGAGUUCCAUUAAUGGAGUGAGCAAGGCCCUAGGACCUGUGCUUCCAGCUAGCCUGGUGCAACCUGAGCAUGAAAGGGAGCAGAAGAACGCAAGAUGGUUCAGGAGCACCAGCUUUGCUCUGCUGUUUAGCCCUCUCUCAGCACAGAUCUUGGGUGGACACCAGAGGUUUUCUGGAGGAUGGUCCAUGAAGCUGGGCUGUAUUUGAUGGGAACUGGGCCAGACGAGCAGGUCAUUAGCCAAUGACUGCUCCAUCGAUAUGCCAGGACCAGAUGAGAGAGGCCAAGUCACCUCAGCCAUGAAGUGGAGCUGAAGUGCAUCAGGUGCAAGCCCUGUGGGGAGAGGCAGCAGACAGCCUCCACCCUGUGACCACUGGGCGUCUAUCCAUGGAGUGUUUCUGGAAAACAUGGACAGACAAGUUUUACUAGUAUUUCAAC